rnacentral:tRNA from 1 species
GGUUCCUUAGCCGAGUGGUUAGGCGCCGGUCUGCAAAACCGUUUACAGCGGUUCGAAUACGCUAGGAACCUCCA